rnacentral:rRNA from 1 species
AUUGAACGCUGGCGGUAGGCCUAACACAUGCAAGUCGAACGGCAGCACAGUAAGAGCUCUCUCUUCCGGGUGGCGAGUGGCGGACGGGUGAGGAAUACAUCGGAAUCUACUUUUUCGUGGGUGAUAACGUAGGGAAACUUACGCUAAUCCCUCAUACGACCUACGGGUGAAAGCAUGGGAUCUUCGGACCUUGCGCGAUUGAAUGAGCCGAUGUCGGAUUAGCUAGUUGGCGGGGUAAAGGCCCACCAAGGCGACGAUCCGUAGCUGGUCUGAGAGGAUGAUCAGCCACACUGGAACUGAGACACGGUCCAGACUCCUACGGGAGGCAGCAGUGGGGAAUAUUGGACAAUGGGCGCAAGCCUGAUCCAGCCAUACCGCGUGGGUGAAGAAGGCCUUCGGGUUGUAAAGCCCUUUUGUUGGGAAAGAAAAGCAGCAGGUUAAUACCCCGCUGUUCUGACGGUACCCAAAGAAUAAGCACCGGCUAACUUCGUG